AUUCCAGCUCCAAUAGCGUAUAUUUAAGUUGCUGCAGUUAAAAAGCUCGUAGUUGGAUUUCGGGCGGUUGACGACGGUCCGCCUCUGGUGUGCACUGCCGUUCUUCCGCCUUUCUGUCGGGGACGUGCUCCUAGGCUUCAUUGUCUGGGACACGGGUUCGACGUGGUUACUUUGAGUAAAUUAGAGUGUUCAAAGCAGGCAUCGCCUUGAAUAUAUUAGCAUGGAAUAGCACGAUAGGACUCUGGCCUAUUUUGCUGGUCUGUAGGACCGGAGUAAUGAUUAAGAGGGACAGUCGGGGGCAUUCGUAUUUCAUUGUCAGAGGUGAAAUUCUUGGAUUUAUGAAAGACGAACUUCUGCGAAAGCAUUUGCCAAGGAUGUUUUCAUUA
rnacentral:rRNA from 1 species